rnacentral:lncRNA from 1 species
ACGAAGGGAGGUGGGGAUGAUGAUGAUGGUGGUGAUGCGGAUUGUUUUCGCUCUGAUGAGAGACAACUGGAGGAGGCGGAGGAUACCGUGGUCCCCCUAUAUGGGAGCUGUGAUAGGGCGGCGGAUUUUCACCGUAAAAGGGAGGCGGCGGCGGAUUUUCACCGUAAAAGGGAGGCGGUGGUGCAUCUUCCCCGUAAAAGGGAGGCGGGUAUGGCCGCGGUGGAGGCGGUGGCGCAUCUUCCCCGUAAAAGGGAGGCGGAUAUGGCCGCGGUGGAGGCGGUGGAGCAUCUUCCCCAUAAAAAGGAGGGGGGUGUGGUCGCGGUGGUGGGGGUGGCGGGUAAUCUUCUUCUUCCCUAUCUGGACCAUGGUGUGAAUGGCGAUAGCCAUGGGGGCGUUCCAUUUCGACUUCCUAUCUGCAAAGAUUGGGGCUUUCUAGGUUUAUGAAGCGUUGUUAU